UACGUAGGUGGCAAGCGUUGUCCGGAUUUACUGGGCGUAAAGAGCGCGCAGGCGGUCGUUCAAGUCGCGUGUGAAAGCCCCCGGCUCAACUGGGGAGGGUCACGCGAUACUGAUCGACUCGAAGGCAGGGGAGGGUAGUGGAAUUCCCGGUGUAGUGGUGAAAUGCGUAGAUAUCGGGAGGAACACCAGUGGCGAAGGCGACUACCUGGCCUGUUUCUUGACGCUGAGGCGCGAAAGCUAGGGGAGCAAACGGG
rnacentral:rRNA from 1 species